AUACGGAGGAUCCGAGCGUUAUCCGGAUUUAUUGGGUUUAAAGGGUGCGCAGGCGGCCAUUUAAGUCAGCGGUUAAAUCGUGGGGCUCAACCCCAUUCUGCCGUUGAUACUGGGUGGCUUGAUUGCGGUCGAGGUUGGCGGAAUUCGUUGUGUAGCGGUGAAAUGCAUAGAUAUGACGAAGAACACCGAUUGCGUAGGCAGCUGACCAGACCGCAAAUGACGCUCAUGCACGAAAGUGCGGGGAUCGAACAGGAUUAGAUACCCUGGUAGUCCGCACAGUAAACGAUGAAUACUUGUUUUCGGCGAUAUAAUGUCGGAGGCAAAGCGAAAGCGAUAAGUAUUCCACCUGGGGAGUACGCCGGC
rnacentral:rRNA from 1 species